rnacentral:siRNA from 1 species
GCCAAAGAAUCAUACGGACUUUGG